GCCUCCAUAGUACAACGGUUAGUAUACGUCUCUAGUAAAGAUGAGAUGGCUGUUCGAUUCAGCCUGGAGGCA
rnacentral:tRNA from 1 species